GGACUACUGGGGUUUCUAAUCCCUUUCGCUCCCCUAGCUUUCGUCCAUGAGUGUCAGUUUCGGCCCAGUAGCGCGCCUUCGCCGCUGGUGUUCUUCCCAAUAUCUACGCAUUUCACCGCUACACUGGGAAUUCCCGCUACCCCUACCGUACUCUAGUCUCUCAGUUUCCACUGCCUUUAUGGGGUUAAGCCCCACGCUUUGACAGCAGACUUGAUAAACCACCUGCGGACGCUUUACGCCCAAUAAUUCCGGAUAACGCUUGCAUCCCCCGUAUUACCGCGGCGGCUGGCACCC
rnacentral:misc_RNA from 1 species